GCUCUCCCUCCUAACUCGACCCUCCCCUUGACCCACGCCUCUGCGCAGGCGCCUUGGCGGGCUGUGGCUGCGGAGUUGGCGGGUCGGCGCCUGCGCACUGGAGUCCCCCGCGAUUUUUUCCUCCGGGGUGGGCGAGGAGGCUGUGCGGCCUUCCCCAGCGGCUGUAGCAGGAGACCUGCGGCUGCAUCUCCCAGGGCCUUCCGGCGGGGCCGAGGGUAGGACCGAGGCACUUCUUCCUUGCAAGCGCGUUUAUUUGUAUUUUCAACCACACUUCAGACGCUACUGGUUUAUAGGAACGUUAAGUUUACUGAGUGUGCAGCUACGCUCCCCUGGGUUUUUGUUCCUUUCCUUAAAGGGCCAGGUGUAGGAGACAGUAGUCCUGCUCCCAAAAAAAGAAUAAAUAGAAGUGCCCGCCCUCUUGGGCUGGACCCCCGUGGCCAAGGGAGUUUUUAGUGAUGGCUGGCAUGGACGUCAGUAUGAAAGUGUACCGGAGUAUUAGUGAUGCUUAACUUUUCACAAUUUGAAUAUGCACUUAAGUAGGGCAGUGCAUUCCCUGAACUCAGCUUUAUGGCUACAGCCCAGUGAAGCAACGGGAUGUGAACUCCAAAACGGCGAAUCCUCCUUUGCUGUUUCCCUCUGGUGCCUUUCUGCAGCCUCGGAGUGAGUUCUUGGCUGUAGUCAGUUUUCAGUACCGUUAGUGACGAGUCCGGUGGGGCGCGGCCAGGAUUAGGAUGAAUCAUACAAGUGCUGGGUGGAUCCUGUCUUUACCUAAAAUUUUGAUAAUUAGUUGUGGGGCGCGGCCAGGAUUAGGAUGAAUCAUACAAGUGCUGGGUGGAUCCUGUCUUUACCUAAAAUUUUGAUAAUUAGUUCAUCAUGGGUUUUUUGCCUUUUUCAUUUUUAAAAAUGUUAAAAUAGUGUCACUCUUGAUGACUUAAAUUUUUUUCAUCCCCGUAAACGCACCUGAGGCCUGUGCUUCCUUGCCUCACCCUAACCUGGCCCUGGGGCUAGAUCCUGGAGAUUCAGGGUUGAAAAGACAAAGUCCUGUCCUUUAGGGAGUUUACAGAGACCAAUGGGAAAGAAGUUGACAGUGAACAAUUUCAGAACACGAAAGAGGAUAUGAAAGAAUGUAAUCGGGGGUAGAGAAUGCAGAUUAGUAUAGGUUAAGGAUUUUGGAUGGUCAGGACGCUUUCUGAGGCUUUGAACCCAGAUGCGUUGAACUGGCAAUGCAGGGCUGCAUAAUAAGCAGAGGGAAUAAUAAGCAGAGGGAAUGCCUGACUACGACUUAGUGAACAAGAGAGAGAGGAGAUGAGGUUAGAGAGGUAGGCAGAAGCCAGAUCCUGUGGGACCUUGUAGUUUUUCCAUGCAGAGUUUAGACUUUCUUCUGAUUGCAGUGGUUAGCUGUUGGAAGGAUUUUGGCAAGCACACAAUACUGAGACCAGAAUAAAG
rnacentral:lncRNA from 10 species